rnacentral:rRNA from 1 species
CCUACGGGUGUCUGCAGUGAGGAAUAUUUGUCAAUGGGCGAGAGCCUGAACCAGCAAAGUCGCGUGAAGGAUGAAGGAUCUAUGGUUUUUAAACUUCUUUUAUAUGGGCAUAACGUGAGGAAAGUGUUCCUUUUUGUAUGUACCAUAUGAAUAAGCAUCGGCUAACUCCGUGCCAGCAGCCGCUGUAAUACGAAGGAUGCGAGCGUUAUCCGGAUUUAUUGGGUUUAAAGGGUGUGUAGGUGGUUAAUUAAGUCAGCGGUGAAAGUUUGUGGUUCAACCAUAAAAUUGCCGUUGAAACUGGUUGACUUGAGUAUAUGUGAGGUAGGCGGAAUGCGUGGUGUAGCGGUGAAAUGCAUAGAUAUCACGCAGAACUCCGAUUGCGAAGGCAGCUUACUAAACUAUAACUGACACUGAAGCACGAAAGCGUGGGGAUCAAACAGGAUUAGAUACCCGAGUAGUC